rnacentral:rRNA from 1 species
GACGAACGCUGGCGGCGUGCUUAACACAUGCAAGUCGAGCGGUAAGGCCCUUUCGGGGGUACACGAGCGGCGAACGGGUGAGUAACACGUGGGUGACCUGCCUUUAGCUCUGGGAUAAAGCCUGGGAAACUGGGUCUAAUACCGGAUAUGACUCCGCGGUGCAUGCUGUGGGGUGGAAAGCCUUGUGCGGCUGGAGAUGGGCCCGCGGCCUAUCAGCUUGUUGGUGGGGUGAUGGCCUACCAAGGCGACGACGGGUAGCCGGCCUGAGAGGGCGACCGGCCACACUGGGACUGAGAC